AACGAACGCUGGCGGCAGGCUUAACACAUGCAAGUCGAACGCCCGUAGCAAUACGGGAGUGGCGGACGGGCGAGUAACGCGUGGGAACGUGCCCUGAGGUACGGAAUAACUGCGGGAAACUGCAGCCACUACCGUAUGAGCCCCUUACGGGGGAAAGAGUUAUCGGCUUAGGAGCGGCCCGCGUCGGAUUAGGUGGGUGGUGGGGUAACGGCUUACCAAGGCGUCGAAGCGUAGCUGGUCUGAGAGGACGAUCAGCCACACUGGGACUGAGACACGGCCCAGACUCCUACGGGAGGCAGCAGUGGGGAAUCUUGCGCAAUGGGGGCAACCCUGACGCAGCCAUGCCGCGUGAAUGAUGAAGGCCUUAGGGUUGUAAAGUUCUUUUGCCCGUGACGAUGAUGACGGUAACGGGAGAAUAAGCUCCGGCUAACUUCGUGCCAGCAGCCGCCGUAAUAC
rnacentral:rRNA from 1 species